rnacentral:rRNA from 1 species
AGUGAACGCUGGCGGUAGGCCUAACACAUGCAAGUCGAACGGCAGCACAGUAAGAGCUUGCUCUUACGGGUGGCGAGUGGCGGACGGGUGAGGAAUACAUCGGAAUCUACUUUUUCGUGGGGGAUAACGUAGGGAAACUUACGCUAAUACCGCAUACGACCUACGGGUUAAAGCAGGGGAUCUUCGGACCUUGCGCGAUUGAAUGAGCCGAUGUCGGAUUAGCUAGUUGGCGGGGUAAAGGCCCACCAAGGCGACGAUCCGUAGCUGGUCUGAGAGGAUGAUCAGCCACACUGGAACUGAGACACGGUCCAGACUCCUACGGGAGGCAGCAGUGGGGAAUAUUGGACAAUGGGCGAAAGCCUGAUCCAGCCAUACCGCGUGGGUGAAGAAGGCCUUCGGGUUGUAAAGCCCUUUUGUUGGGAAAGAAAAGCAGCAGGUUAAUACCCCGCUGUUCUGACGGUACCCAAAGAAUAAGCACCGGCUAACUUCGUG